rnacentral:sRNA from 1 species
UCUCAAUUCUUCUUCUUCUUCUGCUUGUUCUUGGUCGUCUCAAUCUCUC